rnacentral:rRNA from 1 species
CAAGACUCCUACGGGAGGCAGCAGUGGGGAAUAUUGGGCAAUGGGCGCAAGCCUGACCCAGCAACGCCGCGUGAAGGAAGAAGGCUUUCGGGUUGUAAACUUCUUUUGUCAGGGACGAAGCAAGUGACGGUACCUGACGAAUAAGCCACGGCUAACUACGUGCCAGCAGCCGCGGUAAUACGUAGGUGGCAAGCGUUAUCCGGAUUUAUUGGGUGUAAAGGGCGUGUAGGCGGGAAUGCAAGUCAGAUGUGAAAGCCGGGGGCUCAACCCCCGAACUGCAUUUGAAACUGUAGGUCUUGAGUAUCGGAGAGGCAGGCGGAAUUCCUAGUGUAGCGGUGAAAUGCGUAGAUAUUAGGAGGAACACCAGUGGCGAAGGCGGCCUGCUGGACGACAACUGACGGUGAGGCGCGAAAGCGUGGGGAGCAAACAGGAUUAGAUACCCCAGUACG